GGUUGUCGUCAGCUCGUGUCGUGAGAUGUUGGGUUAAGUCCCGCAACGAGCGCAACCCCUAUGUUCAGUAGCCAGCAGGUAAAGCUGGGCACUCUGGAGAGACUGCCGGGGAUAACCCGGAGGAAGGUGGGGAUGACGUCAAAUCAUCAUGCCCCUUAUGAUUUGGGCUACACACGUGCUACAAUGGCGUAAACAGAGGGAAGCGAAGGAGCGAUCUGGAGCAAAUCCCAAAAAUAACGUCUCAGUUCGGACUGCAGUCUGCAACUCGACUGCACGAAGCCGGAAUCGCUAGUAAUCGCGGAUCAGAAUGCCGCGGUGAAUACGUUCCCGGGUCUUGUACACACCGCCCGUCACACCAUGGGAGUUGGAAAUGCCCGAAGUCAGUGACCGAACCUGAAAAGGACGGAGCUGCCGAAGGCGGGUUCAAUAACUGGGGUGAAGUCGUAACAAGGUAGCCGUAUCGGAAGGUGCGGCUGGAUCACCUC
rnacentral:rRNA from 1 species